UCGUCAAACCCGGGGGUGCCGGGGAGAUCCGCCCCCGGCUGAGAUCACACCCGUCGAACCUGAUCCGGGUCAUGCCGGCGAAGGGAGGUCACCAUCAGCACCG
rnacentral:ncRNA from 2 species